UCGACGGCAGCACGGACUUCGGUCUGGUGGCGAGUGGCGAACGGGUGAGUAAUAUAUCGGAACGUACCCUGGAGUGGGGGAUAACGCAGCGAAAGUUGCGCUAAUACCGCAUACGAUCUACGGAUGAAAGUGGGGGCUCGCAAGACCUCAUGCUCGUGGAGCGGCCGAUAUCUGAUUAGCUAGUUGGUAGGGUAAAAGCCUACCAAGGCUUCGAUCAGUAGCUGGUCUGAGAGGACGACCAGCCACACUGGGACUGAGACACGGCCCAGACUCCUACGGGAGGCAGCAGUGGGGAAUUUUGGACAAUGGGGGCAACCCUGAUCCAGCAAUGCCGCGUGAGUGAAGAAGGCCUUCGGGUUGUAAAGCUCUUUUGUCAGGGAAGAAACGGUGAAGGCUAAUACUCUUUGCUAAUGACGGUACCUGAAGAAUAAGCACCGGCUAACUACGUGCCAGCAGCCGCGGUAAUACGUAGGGUGCAAGCGUUAAUCGGAAUUACUGGGCGUAAAGCGUGCGCAGGCGGUUAUGUAAGUCAGAUGUGAAAUCCCCGGGCUCAACCUGGGAAUGGCAUUUGAGACUGCAUGGCUAGAGUGUGUCAGAGGGGGGUAGAAUUCCACGUGUAGCAGUGAAAUGCGUAGAUAUGUGGAGGAAUACCGAUGGCGAAGGCAGCCCCCUGGGAUAACACUGACGCUCAUGCA
rnacentral:rRNA from 1 species